GGGAGUAGAGGAGGCUGUAGGUGAUGUCAUUCUGAACGGCAGAACAAGGGCACCGGUUCAGAAGAUAGGUGGCAGUGGUGAGCACCUCAGCCCAGUAUUGGGCAGCCAUGGAGGCGUGAAUGAGCAAUGUGCGAGUUACAUUAUUAAGGGUGCGUAGGACACACUCAGCUUUCCCAUUUUGGGGAGAAGUGUAGGGACAUAAGAGGCACAAGUGGAUACCCCAAGAAGUCAAAAAGGAUGUGAGAGUCUUA
rnacentral:lncRNA from 1 species